rnacentral:lncRNA from 1 species
CUAAAUGCAAAAUAGCCUUUAUUAGAGUGGGCUGAGCCCUCUCUCUCCCUCACACUCUCUCAUUCCUCUCUCUCACUCUCAUUUCUCUCUUGCUCUCUCUCUCUCUAGAAAGGAAAGAAGGAGAGGAAGAAGAAGAAGGAGAGGAAGGAAAAGAAAGGGAAGAUAAGGAAGAAGAAGAAGAAGGAGAUCAAGGGGAAGGCUUU